AUUGAACGCUGGCGGCAGGCCUAACACAUGCAAGUCGAACGAGUGGCGGACGGGUGAGUAAUGUCUGGGUAUCUGCCUGAUGGAGGGGGAUAACUACUGGAAACGGUAGCUAAUACCGCAUACCAUCGGAUGUGCCCAGAUGGGAUUAGCUAGUCGGUGGGGUAAAGGCUCACCUAGGCGACGAUCCCUAGCUGGUCUGAGAGGAUGAGCAGCCACACUGGGACUGAGACACGGUCCAGACUCCUACGGGAGGCAGCAGUGGGGAAUAUUGCACAAUGGGCGCAAUCCUGAUGCAGCCAUGCCGCGUGUAUGAAGAAGGCCUUCGGGUUGUAAAGUACUUUCAGCGGGGAGGCGUUACCCGCAGAAGAAGCACCGGCUAACUCCGUGCCAGCAGCCGCGGUAAUAC
rnacentral:rRNA from 1 species